AGACUCCUACGGGAGGCAGCAGUGGGGAAUAUUGCACAAUGGGCGGAAGCCUGAUGCAGCAACGCCGCGUGCGGGAUGACGGCCUUCGGGUUGUAAACCGCUUUCGCCUGUGACGAAGCGUGAGUGACGGUAAUGGGUAAAGAAGCACCGGCUAACUACGUGCCAGCAGCCGCGGUGAUACGUAGGGUGCGAGCGUUGUCCGGAUUUAUUGGGCGUAAAGGGCUCGUAGGUGGUUGAUCGCGUCGGAAGUGUAAUCUUGGGGCUUAACCCUGAGCGUGCUUUCGAUACGGGUUGACUUGAGGAAGGUAGGGGAGAAUGGAAUUCCUGGUGGAGCGGUGGAAUGCGCAGAUAUCAGGAGGAACACCAGUGGCGAAGGCGGUUCUCUGGGCCUUUCCUGACGCUGAGGAGCGAAAGCGUGGGGAGCGAACAGGCUUAGAUACCCUGGUAGUCCACGCUGUAAACGGUGGGUACUAGGUGUGGGGUCCAUUCCACGGGUUCCGUGCCGUAGCUAACGCUUUAAGUACCCCGCCUGGGGAGUACGGCCGCAAGGCUAAAACUCAAAGGAAUUGACGGGGCCCCGCACAAGCGGCGGAGCAUGCGGAUUAAUUCGAUGCAACGCGUAGAACCUUACCUGGGUUUGACAUGGAUCGGGAGCGCUCAGAGAUGGGUGUGCCUCUUUUGGGGUCGGUUCACAGGUGGUGCAUGGCUGUCGUCAGCUCGUGUCGUGAGAUGUUGGGUUAAGUCCCGCAACGAGCGCAACCCUUGUUCACUGUUGCCAGCACGUUAUGGUGGGGACUCAGUGGAGACCGCCGGGGUCAACUCGGAGGAAGGUGGGGAUGACGUCAAGUCAUCAUGCCCCUUAUGUCCAGGGCUUCACGCAUGCUACAAUGGCUGGUACAGAGAGUGGCGAGCCUGUGAGGGUGAGCGAAUCUCGGAAAGCCGGUCUCAGUUCGGAUUGGGGUCUGCAACUCGACCUCAUGAAGUCGGAGUCGCUAGUAAUCGCAGAUCAGCAACGCUGCGGUGAAUACGUUCCCGGGCCUUGUACACACCGCC
rnacentral:rRNA from 1 species